rnacentral:rRNA from 1 species
AUUGAACGCUGGCGGCAGGCUUAACACAUGCAAGUCGAACGAGUGGCGGACGGGUGAGUAAUGCUUGGGAAUCUAGCUUAUGGAGGGGGAUAACUACGGGAAACUGUAGCUAAUACCGCAUAUUAUUCGAGCGGCCGAUAUCUGAUUAGCUAGUUGGUGGGGUAAAGGCCUACCAAGGCGACGAUCAGUAGCGGGUCUGAGAGGAUGACCAGCCACACUGGAACUGAGACACGGUCCAGACUCCUACGGGAGGCAGCAGUGGGGAAUAUUGCACAAUGGGCGCAAGCCUGAUGCAGCCAUGCCGCGUGUGUGAAGAAGGCCUUCGGGUUGUAAAGCACUUUCAGCGGGGAGGCGUUACCCGCAGAAGAAGCACCGGCUAACUCCGUGCCAGCAGCCGCGGUAAUUC